ensembl:lncRNA PDE7B-AS1 PDE7B antisense RNA 1
CAUUAACAAAGAUAAACACACUGGACUGAAUGUGCUUGUGGCUUUGUCAAAAAGCUCUCUUAAAUCUGUUUAAAAAAAUCUAAGUUAAGGAUUGGCAACCUUGUUCUGUAAAGGGCCAUAGGAGUAAGAGACAUGGGUGAAAGAGUUAUCCGGAAUGGAAUGCUGAGGAG